AACGAACGCUGGCGGCAUGCCUAACACAUGCAAGUCGAACGAGACCUUCGGGUCUAGUGGCGCACGGGUGCGUAACGCGUGGGAACCUGCCCUUAGGUUCGGAAUAACUCCCCGAAAGGGGUGCUAAUACCGGAUAAUGUCUUCGGACCAAAGAUUUAUCGCCUUUGGAUGGGCCCGCGUUGGAUUAGCUAGUUGGUAGGGUAAAAGCCUACCAAGGCGACGAUCCAUAGCUGGUCUGAGAGGAUGAUCAGCCACACUGGGACUGGGAACCGGCCCAGAAUCCUACGGGAGGCAGCAGUGGGGAAUAUUGGACAAUGGGCGAAAGCCUGAUCCAGCAAUGCCGCGUGAGUGAUGAAGGCCUUAGGGUUGUAAAGCUCUUUUACCCGGGAUGAUAAUGACAGUACCGGGAGAAUAAGCUCCGGCUAACUCCGUG
rnacentral:rRNA from 1 species